UUAAAGUUAAAAUAUAAUAAAAAGCCUAUAAGAUACCAUAGAACAAACUUGGCCAUAUAUUUUAGAAGAGGGCAAUUUAAUCUAAUUUUGAAACUAAUGGAGCUAAACGUGAUCUACUCAGCUUACAAUUUGCUAUGUUACACACAUGGUUUGACAAUCAUUGAAGAAGGAAAUAAUUAGUUUGAAAUCAAUAAUAAUUCAGAAUAAUUUAAUGAAAUGUGCCCAUGAUAUAUACAAAUCCAAAAAAACAUAUAAAAAGCUACUAAAUAUUAUAACAAGCAAUAAUUUAUGUGACAGCUAUAUAAAAAACACACAACAAAUAAUAAAAAUUGCUUUAAGUGAAAACAAACAUCUUUUAAAAAAAAAUAAAAUUAACAAAAAAAAUUAUUUAUCACUGAUAAGGAAAUGUCUACUAAGUGAAACCCUAAGAGGGCUGGUGGAUUUCAGGAAAAUUCAGUGCUUGAAGUAUAACCUGACACCAAUGCCACACAUAGGAUAUGGUACGGUGAACUUAAUUAUGGAGUCUCAUCCCAGAAAUAAUAUUAUGCUUAACAGUAUAGCAGGCAAACUUUUGAAUACAUUGUCCAAUGACAACAACCCUAUUAGACCGUUUCCAAGUUUUGUCCACAAUUUUUUGAGACUGUUUUUCCUCACCAAGUACCCCAACCCAUCCACCGGAGUUCCUGUUGGCUUUACCAAGGUCUUUGUUGCCCUGUUAUGGAAUGUAAUCGAACAAUACGUCGCGUGUUCGAGAUUGAACUUCAUUUAUAAAUUCUACCAGCGAUUACAAAGAAAUGAAGACAAUGUGUAUACCCAACGUGGGGAGCGUGUAUUCAAAGUAACAAUUAGGUACGAAUUUCAAAAAAAUGCUCUACAAAAUCGAUCACUAUGAAGAUUUCUUAUCUACAGAUUUCCAGUAUGACGCGGAGAGGUAUUUGGCUAUGUAAAUGAGGAAUAUAUUGUGGUUGAUAUGGGUGAUUGCCAUCCAUGAAAUCAAUCUCCACAUGGAGUAUUCGUUUGUGGAACAAAUAGUUAUUGUGGCCAUAGUGAAGAACCAACUUAAAUCGGGCAAACAGUUAUUUCAAAAAUUCAAUACAAUUGGACAGUACUUAUGCUGUUCAUUCAACAACACCCCAAACAAUGUUCGGUACUUUAAGCAGAUCUUAAACUUAUUAACACACAAAAAAAUAAUCACAAUAGUACUAGAAACAGAUAAAACACCAAAAUGAUAUACCAUAGACACAAGUAACCCAGAUGACCCAAAUUGUUAAUGGAUGCGAAAUAAUUCUUUACUCGAUCCAACUGGAGGUCAGUGCCUUGGAUGUAUACGCCAUAUAAAAUAUGUACCAGACCAGGCGCAAUAUAUACUGUUGGACUGUGGCCAUGGAUGGUAUUGUGCGAUGUGCAUCUCAAAACCUCCUCUCGCAUGUUCUGUAUGUGGUGAUAUGGUCGAAGGUACCUUAAGAAUAUUUUUAAAUUGAAAAAAUAUUUCAUCAUUUUUUGUUACUUAUUGAUA